UACAGAGGGUGCAAGCGUUGUUCGGAAUUACUGGGCGUAAAGCGCGUGUAGGCUGCGACGUAAGUCAGGUGUGGAAAGCCCUCAGCUUAACUGAGGAAGUGCACUUGAUACUGCGUCGCUUGAGUGUCGGAGGGGGUGGCGGAAUUCCCGGUGUAGCGGUGAAAUGCGCAGAUAUCAGGAGGAACACCGGUGGCGAAGGCGGUUCUCUGGGCCUUACCUGACGCUGAGGAGCGAAAGCAUGGGGAGCAAACAGG
rnacentral:rRNA from 1 species